UUGGAGGGCAAGUCUGGUGCCAGCAGCCGCGGUAAUUCCAGCUCCAAUAGCGUAUAUUAAAGUUGUUGCAGUUAAAAAGCUCGUAGUUGAAUUUCGGGACCAAUUUGUUGGUCGUGCCUCGGUACGUACUGGUAUUAUUGGUUUCUCCCUUCUGAAGAACCCUUGAUGUCAUUAAUUUGGUGUCUUGGGGAAUCAGGACUGUUACUUUGAAAAAAUUGAGUGUUUAAAGCAGGCAUACGCUUGAAUACAUUAGCAUGGAAUAAUGAAAUAGGACGUUUGAUUCAUUUUGUGGUUUCUAGGAUUGACGUAAUGAUUAAUAGGGAUAUUGGGGGCAUUAGUAUUCAAUUGUCAGAGUGAAAUUCUUGGAUUUAUUGAAGACUAACUACUG
rnacentral:rRNA from 1 species